rnacentral:rRNA from 1 species
CCUACGGGAUGCAGCAGUGAGGAAUAUUUGUCAAUGGACGAGAGUCUGAACCAGCCAAGUAGCGUGAAGGAUGACUGCCCUAUGGGUUGUAAACUUCUUUUAUAAAGGAAUAAAACGAGGCACGUGUGCCUUUUUGCAUGUACUUUAUGAAUAAGGAUCGGCUAACUCCGUGCCAGCAGCCGCGGUAAUACGGAGGAUCCGAGCGUUAUCCGGAUUGAUUGGGUUUAAAGGGAGCGUAGAUGGGUUGUUAAGUCAGUUGGGAAAGUUUGCGGCUCACCCGUAAAAUUGCAAUUGAUACUGGCAGUCUUGAGUACAGUUGAGGUAGGCGGAAUUCGUGGUGUAGCGGUGAAAUGCUUAGAUAUCACGAAGAACCCCGAUUGCGAAGGCAGCUUACUAAACUGUGACUGACAUUGAUGCUCGAAAGUGUGGGUAUCAAACAGGAUUAGAUACCCUAGUAGUC